rnacentral:rRNA from 1 species
CCUACGGGAGGCAGCAGUAAGGAAUCUUCCACAAUGGACGAAAGUCUGAUGGAGCAACGCCGCGUGCAGGAUGAAGGCUUUCGGGUCGUAAACUGCUUUUAUAUGGGAAGAUUAUGACGGUACCAUAUGAAUAAGGACCGGCUAACUACGUGCCAGCAGCCGCGGUAAUACGUAGGGUCCAAGCGAUAUCCGGAAUUACUGGGCGUAAAGCGUGUGUAGGUGGAUUAAUAAGUGUGAUGCGAAAUCCGGCGGCUCAACCGUUUGGACUGUGUCGCAUACUGUUAGUCUAGAGGACGGCAGAGGUAAGUGGAAUUACGGGUGUAGCAGUGAAAUGCGUAGAUAUCCGUAGGAACACCAAUGGCGAAGGCAGCUUACUGGGCCACACCUGACACUGAGACACGAAAGCGUGGGGAGCGAACAGGAUUAGAUACCCUGGUAGUCCACGCCGUAAACGAUGCAUACUAUUAGUAUGGGGUAUCGACCCCCUGUGCUGAGAGACUACGACGAUAAGUAUGCCGCCGUCGGGAGGUACGAGACGCGAGACGUUAAACUAACGAAACGAAGUUAGUACGGACGUGAGACGUACGCCGACGGACGACGACGAGGGAGGAGG